rnacentral:rRNA from 1 species
GUGGGGAAUCUUCCGCAAUGGACGAAAGUCUGACGGAGCAACGCCGCGUGAGUGAUGAAGGUCUUCGGAUUGUAAAGCUCUGUUAAUCGGGACGAAAGAGCCUAGUGUGAAUAAUGCUAGGAAGUGACGGUACCGGAAUAGAAAGCCACGGCUAACUACGUGCCAGCAGCCGCGGUAAUACGUAGGUGGCAAGCGUUGUCCGGAAUUAUUGGGCGUAAAGCGCGCGCAGGCGGAUCUGCCAGUCUGUCUUAAAAGUUCGGGGCUUAACCCCGUGAUGGGAUGGAAACUACAGAUCUAGAGUAGCGGAGAGGAAAGUGGAAUUCCUAGUGUAGCGGUGAAAUGCGUAGAUAUUAGGAAGAACACCAGUGGCGAAGGCGACUUUCUGGACGAAAACUGACGCUGAGGCGCGAAAGCCAGGGGAGCAAACGGGAUUAGAAACCCCGGUAGUCC